AGCAGCCGCGGUAAUUCCAGCUCCAAUAGCGUAUAUUAAAGUUGUUGCAGUUAAAAAGCUCGUAGUUGAAUUUCGGGAUUGGCGUGUCGGUCGUGCCUUAAGGGGUAUGAACUGGCGUCGUUGAUUUCUCACCUUCUGGAGAAACUCGAUGCCCUUAAUUGGGUGUCGUGCGGAACCAGGACCUUUACCUUGAAAAAAUUAGAGUGUUUAAAGCAGGCAUUUUUGCUCGAAUACAUUAGCAUGGAAUAAUAAAAUAGGACGGUUGGUUCUAUUUUGUUGGUUUCUAGGAUCACCGUAAUGAUUAAUAGGGAUAGUUGGGGGCAUUAGUAUUCAAUUGUCAGAGGUGAAAUUCUUGGAUUUAUUGAAGACUAACUACUGCGAAAGCAUUUGCCAAGGAUGUUUUCAUUAAUCAAGAACGAAAGUUAGGGGAUCGAAGACGAUCAGAUACCGUCGUAGUCUUAACCAUAAACUAUGCCGACUAGGAAUCAGACGAUGUUAAUUUUUUAAUGACUCGUUUUGG
rnacentral:rRNA from 1 species